rnacentral:rRNA from 1 species
UACGAAGGGGGCUAGCGUUGCUCGGAAUGACUGGGCGUAAAGGGCGCGUAGGCGGAUGGCACAGUCAGAUGUGAAAUUCCCGGGCUUAACCUGGGGGCUGCAUUUGAUACGUGUGAUCUAGAGUGAGGAAGAGGGUCGUGGAAUUCCCAGUGUAGAGGUGAAAUUCGUAGAUAUUGGGAGGAACACCAGUGGCGAAGGCGGCGAUCUGGGAAGAUACUGACGCUGAGGUGCGAAAGCGUGGGGAGCAAACAGG